CUUAGACCAGGCAGAAGGACCUAGAAGAGGAGAAAAUUUAUUCCUCCCCGACAGUAGCAUGCAUGUGUACCUAACCAGCUCUUGUACAGUAAACCGCAUAGUAAACUAGUGGUUCUCAACUGGUGAAAUUUUUGCACCUUAUGGGACAUUUGCCAAAGUCUAGAGAUAUUUUUCGUUGUCACAGCUGGGGGAGAGCAUACUACUGGCAUCUAGUGGGCAGAGACCAGGGAUCCUACUCCUUACCCUACAAUGCACAGGAUAGCCCCAUAACAGAGAAUUAUCCAGCUCAAAAGGUGCUGAGGAUGAGAAACCCUGAUGUAACCACCACUCCAUCAAGAAACAACCAUAACGUGUCCUUCCCACCCUCCUGACCUGUGCCCACCCUGAGUUUUAUGGUAAGCACACUCCUCCUCUUCUUCAAUGUUUUCCCACGUGAGUACAUAUCGGUAGAUGUCUGAAUUUAACCCAGACUCUCUCACUAACAUGCUGCACCAUCCUGGAUGAGUUCCUUCAGCUCUGUGCCUCAUUUGCUGCAUCUGUAAAGCAGGAAUCCUAAUAGUACUCACUCCACAGACUGCUCUAUCACAUGAGUCUGUGUAAGUAUAGCAGUUAGAACAGCGUCAGGCACACAGGGGGCUGCCUGUGUGUUCAUUAUGAUGAUGAUAUCAGGGUGUUUAUAUCAACAACAGAAGACUGUGAGACUCUCUGGGCAGCUAGUUAAGGUUAUAACUGAAGCACCGAGACUGCAUUUCUGCAGGCUCAGCACUCUGAGUGGACACUUGCACAGAGCAUCAGGAAGGCCCUGCCUCUACAUUACACAGGGCACAGCACUGGCCUUAGAGUCUAUCCCUAGGCUGGCUGCUCAUCCUGGGUUGUCCUCCAGUGGGCUGCUCAGCCUCUCUGAUCAGCAUUAUCUCUCUCUACUGCACUAUAACAAAUGGGGACAUUUUGACUCAUCAGGACUUUUACCAGGAAGAGAGCAGGUAACAAACUGAGUUCGAUCUGAAAGUGGGCUCCCCAUUGUGCAAAAGAUAUUGUCUCCACAAUACUUCCUCUAUUGCAUUAUCCAAUCUCCUUCUUGCCCACUGUGGCAUGCAAAGCAUGGCAUUUUAUUAUUUAACGGUCUUUCAAAGACUACAAAGACUCCUGGAGCAUGAUAGAUCCUAACACUAGGAUUCCCUUUCCCUCUCCUGAUGUCACUAAUCCCACCUUGUCCGCCACUGGCAAGACUACAUGGAAUUUCUCUCACACUUUCCAGGCCAUCCACUCACGUGAAUGAAAAAUAUGCUUUGCUCAAGUGAAUGGGGUGGCGGGGGUCACAGUAAAUGGAUAACUGCCCAUAGUGAAGCUCAAUGUGGAUGAAGCAGGUGACCAGCCUUUGCCCUGUUUCCCUCUACCUGAGAUGGUUAAUCUCCUCUGCCGCCACCUGCUGUACCUCUCACCCAGCUAACAUUCAGUGACUGUUCAAGCGUAGGCUCUGCUGUAACCUCUUAAGGCAGUAAAUCCCAGAGAGAGUGAAGGAUGCUGUGGUGUAGCUCCAGAUCCCCCUGUUCAGGAGAGAGGCGCUUAUUCCCCCAGCUGCCAAGAGUGUCACCUGUCCACAGCACACGACUGAGUCCUUCCCUGGGGAUUGCCCUUUGCCUAAAUGAGCUGCCUCACCCAAUGGUAUGUUCCUUUCCAGAGGCAGCCCAUAAUCAAUGAUAGGUUGUUGGGGUGUAUAAAGCCCCCUGUCCUUGCCUCAAUUUCAGACAAUUCCAAAGGGCCAUGCCAGCUACAGCACUCCAAAGGAGUAAGCUGUGGUCUUUGUUGCCACCACAUCACAGUUCAACUUCUGCUUCCCUUCCUUCGUCCCUCCAAGUUAGUGCUCCGGAGAGCACUCCACAAUACACUUCCUUCAUUCAGACACAGUCACUCAGGGAACUCACAGGAGCAGUCCAAGAAAGCAGACUGGAAAACGGGAUUUUAGAGUUGAUCCCCUUCUGUGGCUGGUAAUGCAGAUUCUGUCACUGGUGUAGGUGGAGUAAGGAUAGCCCAAGGGAUUUGGUGCAUUUGUUACAGCUUCCAUCCAUAGUGAACUGGGAUGGGAAAAUGGGGAAAGGGAAUAUGCUAGCAGGUGUGCUAUCUCAGGCUUUGGAGAGAUUUGGGAGAUGUGAUGAUUAUAAGGAUUAUAGGAUUGAACAAUUAAAUGUGUGUGGCUUAAGGCAAAAAGACAAUGCACAGCUGAGGAUGCUUCAUCACUCAUUGAAAGCUAAGUUUGAAAGUCGCAAGGCUUCCUUGGAUAGACAUGCAGAUAGUUUCAAAUGCUCUAAGCCAUACGGCAGAAAAGUGAGGAGUCCUCAACUUAAUUAUAAGGGUAGCAGUCUUCCAAAGACAGUUGAAUUAUCAAUUUCAGCAAGUCAGUUAGGUCAAAGCCAGAGUCCCAGUUGAGAAGGAGGACUCUGAGACUUGGAGUUAGGACACUAGGAUCAACGCACUGAAAAUAUUUGAAUCCAUAGGUUUCGAUGAACUCUCUUGUCCUCUAGACACAGUGCUCCUCUUUCUGUUAAAAAGCUAGUUCUUCCUUCUUGCUUGAGGCAAUGCAAACGCUCUGUCUUAAAGACAGCAUGUGCCUCUCUCAGGAUAUAGCUACCCCUCCCUCCUGGAGUGCAGACUAAAGCAAGGGUUGAGUCACAGCACAACCCAUCUGGGAAAGUACUGAGCUCACUAGCGUGGGAGAGAGACUAAGCUCCAGAGGAACUUCAAGCCAGAGCCAGUGUGUCCUGCUGGGACCAGGGUGAGUACACGUGGGACUGGAUCCCGCGGAUGCUGGCUCCAGUUGGGUAGGCACAUAGGGUUUGACAAGGGAGAGUUUGGUGAUAAGAGGACAUUCCCCAAGGUAUAGAAUUCUCACUGACUGCAAGGAACCCAGCAGAGAGUAUGAAGAGAUGCCAAAGCUGUGACAGACUGUAGAGAUCCAUUGAGCUCCCAGCAGGGUACUGUGUCUUGAGGAUAACAACCAGUCACUUUGCAGCAAGUUGAUCACAUUGAAAUCCAUCCACUUUGCAAAGGUGUGCUGAUUGCAGUCUCUGGGAAGCGGAUGCUCAGCCAGAGUUGGAAGUGCAACAGAUUUAUUGUGGGCUAACAGAAGGAAAGAGAAAAGAGCAGGGUUGAGCAGGGAUGGCCAUCAGAUUGUGAUGCAGGGCCAGCUGCUGGGAGUGCUGGCUGCCACCAGUUUAUAGCCGAAUCCUUCCCGGGGCAUUGCCUCAGCUGAAGGGCACUGCCUUCUAAGGUUAUGUCCCCUUCAGAGAGCUUGCGUCAAAUGACUGAUCACUGCAGCAGAAUAAAUCCCAGCCCCCCUUUCUCAACUUGACACAAAUUUGAAAGUGAUCCCACCUCCAGAGCUCCCCGUGGCAUCUGCUGAGGUCUUUUCGUGAGCAGAUCUAAGUCUGAUCUUUCCUUCCACCCAACCCUGCUCUUUCAGUCCUCUACAGAUAUCGAUCCUGAGAGCACUGCCCAAUUCUUCUCCUGCACUUUAAUCUCCAUCGCAGAGAAUCUGACCUAGAAGUGUGAUUAAGCAUGCAGACUGUAGACCCACCUGCCUGGGUCCAAAUUCAGCUCUGCCCUGAUUAUCUGCAUGACCUUGGGUAAGUCACUUAACCAGUGGGUGUCUCUGUUUCUUCAUCUGCUGCAUGGAGAGAUAACACCUAUCACAUCAGGUUGUCAUGAAAAUUAAGUGAGAUAUAAGUUAAGAAGUUAGAACACUGUCUGCUACACAUUAAGCACUAUGGAUGUGUUAUUAUUAUUAUUGUUUCAGUUAUUAAGAUUUCUCACCCAGACAUUAAGAGGCUGGGGUCACUGUCAAGCCCCUCUCUAUCCAGCACCUAUCAGAGAAGCUUGUCCUUUGAACUCAGGAGAUAGACUUUUUCCAGUGCACCAUCCAGAGGGGUUUCCAUAGCAACUACUGCCACUUCAAAGAUUCCAGAAUGUCUCCCUUGUACAUCCAACUUCCUCCCUCCCUGUGUGCCUUUCAGGUUUAUUUUAAAUGCAAAGUAUAACAAGAUGAGAUAUAACAUCAAUUUCCUAUAUUCAAAAGAUUGAGACCGU
ensembl:lncRNA